GCAGAGCUGAAUGGUGAAGCCCUCCUCAGGGGAAACGUGGUGUGCGGAAAACCCCCAAAAGCUGCACGAUGAAGAGCUCCUCAGGGACGUAGUGAAGAAAACAGCAAAAGCUGCUCGAGAAGGCACUCCUCAGAGGCUGCAGUGGAGAAAUACCAAAAGCUGGACGAUGAAGCACUCCUCAGGGGGAACGUGGUGAAGAGAUCCUGAAAAGCUGCACGAUGAAGAACUCCUCAUAGGCCGCAAUGAAGAAAAGACCAGAAGCUGCACUCAGAAGCACUCCUCAGGGCCUGGAAUGAGAAAAAAAAAACACCAAAUGUUAGAAGAUGAAGCACUUCUCAGGGGCAACAAGGUGAAAACAAUACCAAAAGCUCCAUGAUGAAGCUCUCCUCGGGGAAAUCAUGGUGAGGAGAACCCCAAAAGCUAGACGGUGCAGAACUCCUCAGGGCCAUAGAGAAGAAAACACCAAAAGCUGCAUGAAGAACUCCUCAGGGCCGUAGUGAAGAAAACACCAAAAGCUGCAUGAUGACACAUUCCUCCGGAGUCCCAAAGCGAAGAGAACCCCAAAAGCUGCACGAUGAAGAACUCCUCAGGGACCACAAGGUGAAGAAAACACAAAUAGCUCCACGGAGAAUUACUCCUCAAGUGCCACAGUGAAGAAAACGCAAAAAACUGAAUGAUGAAGCUCUCCUCAGGGGAAACGUGGCGUGGAGAACCCCAAAAACUGCACGAUGAAGACAUCCUCAGGGGAAACAGUGAAGGAAACACAAAAAGCUGGACGCAGAAGCACUCCUCAAGGGAAACGUGGUGUGGGGAAAACCCCCAAAAGCUGCACGAUGAAGACAUCCUCAG